AGGGUUCGAUCAUGGCUCAGGACGAACGCUGGCGGUGCGCCUUAUGCAUGCAAGUCGAGCGAAGCUUUUCAGUAGUUUACUACAGAAAAUGACUGAGCGGCGAACGGGCGAGUAACGCGUGAGCAAUCUACCUUAGUUACAGGGAUAGCCCGAGGAAACUCGGAUUAAUACCUGAUAUUCUUUAUUUCUCGCAUGAGAAUAAAAGGAAAGGUCAGCCGAACUAAGAUGGGCUCGCGUUCUAUCAGCUUGUUGGUGAGGUAAAAGCUUACCAAGGCUACGACGGAUAGCUGGUCUGAGAGGACGAUCAGCCACACUGGGACUGAGACACGGCCCAGACUCCUACGGGAGGCUGCAGCAGGGAAUAUUGUGCAAUGAACGAAAGUUUGACACAGCGACACCGCGUGUGGGAUGACGGAUCUAGGUUUGUAAACCACUUUCAGGAGGGAAGAAAAUGACGGUACCUCCACAAGAAGCCCCGGCCAACUACGUGCCAGCCGCCGCGGUAAUA
rnacentral:rRNA from 1 species